rnacentral:lncRNA from 1 species
GGCUCUGACCCGAAAUUAAGCACUUAAGAUACAGACAACUGUGGAUGAACCCAGAAAAGUUAUGACUAUGCAAAGAGCCAACCACACAAGAAUUCUUAGCAAUGACACGUACGUAUCGCACUACUUUUUUGUUGAUUCAAAUCUAACUUAACAAGACAUGUCAACCAGAAAAUAUCCCUUCCUACUCAGACACAGGUAGACACUUUCUC